CAGUAGCCGCGGUAAUGCGUAGGUGGCAGGCGUUGUCCGGAAUUAUUGGGCGUAAAGGGCUCGCAGGCGGUUUCUUAAGUCUGAUGUGAAAGCCACCGGCUCAACCGGGGAGGGUCAUUGGAAACUGGGAAACUUGAGUGCAGAAGAGGAGAGUGGAAUUCCACGUGUAGCGGUGAAAUGCGUAGAGAUGUGGAGGAACACCAGUGGCGAAGGCGACUCUCUGGUCUGUAACUGACGCUGAGGAGCGAAAGCGUGGGGAGCGAACAGGAUUAGAUACCCGUGUAGUCCCUGUCUCUUAUAC
rnacentral:rRNA from 1 species